rnacentral:misc_RNA from 1 species
UGGUUCUGGCAUCGAUGAAGAACGCAGCGAAAUGCGAUAAGUAAUGUGAAUUGCAGAAUUCAGUGAAUCAUCGAAUCUUCGAACGCACAUUGCGCCCAUUAGUAUUCUAGUGGGCAUGCCUGUUCGAGCGUCAUUUCAACCCUUAAGCCUCUGUUGCUUAGUGUUGGGAGCCUACAGUACUGUAGCUCCUCAAAGUUAGUGGCGGAGUCGGCUCACAGCUCUAGACGUAGUAAUUUUUUCCCUCGCCUGUGUGUUGUGCCGGUCCCCUGCCGUAAAACCCCCUAAUUUUUCAAGGUUGACCUCGGAUCAGGUAGGAAUACCCGCUGA